rfam:Berkelbacteria bacterium GW2011_GWE1_39_12, complete genome.
AUUUUUGAGAGUUUGAUCCUGGCUCAGGACGAACGCUGGCGGCGUGCCUAACACAUGCAAGUCGUACGCUUGUAAAAGCGUGGCGAACGGGUGAGUAAUAGCAAGGAACGUGCCUUUUUCCGGGAAAUACCCAGCCGAAAGGUUGGCUAAUGUCCCAUAGUCUCGCAAGAGUAAAGCUCCGGCGGAAAAAGAUCGGCCUUGUUCCUAUCAGCUAGUUGGUAAGGUAACGGCUUACCAAGGCUAUGACGGGUAGCUGGUCUGAGAGGAUGAUCAGCCACAUGGGGACUGAGACACGGCCCUAACACCUACGGGUGGCAGCAGUUGGGAAUAUUGCACAAUGGGCGACAGCCUGAUGCAGCGACGCCGCGUGAAGGAAGAAGGCCUUCGGGUUGUAAACUUCUUUUUUAGGGGACGAUUGUGACGGUACCCUAAGAAUAAGGACCUGCUAACUACGUGCCAGCAGCAGCGGUAAUACGUAGGGUCCAAGCGUUGUCCGGAUUUAUUGGGCGUAAAGAGUAUGUAGGUGGCUUGGAUAGUUGGAUCUUAAAUCCCCGGGCUCAACCCGGGUUCUGGAUUCAAUACUUCCUUGCUUUGAGGAUAUCAGGGGCAAGUGGAAUUAGCGGAGUAGCAGUGAAAUGCGUUGAUCUCGCUAAGAACACCAAUGGCGAAGGCAGCUUGCUAGGAUAUCACUGACACUGAGAUACGAAAGCGUGGGGAGCGAACGGGAUUAGAUACCCCGGUAGUCCACGCCGUAAACGAUGCAGACUAGCUAUCAGAAGUAUCGACCCUUCUUGUAGCGAAGCUAACGCGUUAAGUCUGCCGCCUGGGAAGUACGGUCGCAAGACUAAAACUCAAAGGAAUUGACGGGGACUCGCACAAGCGGUGGAGCAUGUGGUUUAAUUCGACGGUAAGCGAAGAACCUUACCAGGACUUGACAUCUCUAGGACCCGCCGGAAACGGUGGGGUGCCCGCAAGGGAACUAGAUGACAGGUGCUGCACGGCUGUCGUCAGCUCGUGUCGUGAGAUGUGGCCUUAAGUGGUCCAACGAGCGAAACCUAUGUCCUGUGUUGAUUUUUCACAGGAGACUGCCUCGGUUUACGGGGAGGAAGGCGUAGACGACGUCAAGUCAGCGUGGCUCUUACGUCCUGGGCUACACACGUGCUACAAUGGCAGAAACAACGAGUUGCAAAACCGUAAGGUCAAGCUAAUCUCUUAAAUUCUGCCUCAGUACGGAUUGAGGGCUGAAAUUCGCCCUCAUGAAGCUGGAAUCGCUAGUAAUCGUGGGUCAGCUACACCACGGUGAAUACGUUCUCGAGUCUUGUACACACCGCCCGUCAAGUGAGCCGAGUCGGCGGGGCCCGAAGUUUGCGAAUGCAGGCAACGGCCAAGUCGGUGAGGAGCACUAAGUCGUAACAAGGUAUCCGUAGGGGAAUCUGCGGAUGGAUCACCUCCUUU